CUUGUUGUUUACCCAAAAGUCAUUCAGAAGCAGUUUGUUUAAUUUUCAUGUAAUCAUGGCUGAGAGGCAUCUUCUUGUAUUGAUUUAUUUUUUUAAUCUUGCUGUGAUCUUUGAGUGUAGUUAGUAUGUUUUUAUAUAUGUAUUUACUAAGAAUUGCUUUAUGGUUGUGCAUGUAGUGAAUUUUAGAUUAUGUGUCAUGUACACAUGAUAAGCUCGUGUAUUCUGUUUUGGUUGGGUGUAAUGUUCUGUAGACAUCUGUUAGGUCCAUUUAAUCCACUGUCAAGUUUAGGCCCCAGAUAUCUUUAUUAGUUUCUGUCUUGAGGAUGUGUCUGAUACUGUCAGUGGGGUAUUGACAUAUUCCCCUAUUAUUGUGUGGUUAUCUAGCCUCCAUGUAGAUCUUUAAGAACUUGUUUUGUGAAUCUUGGUGUAUGUGUCUUAGCUGUAUAUAUAUUUAGGAUAAAGUUUUCUUAUUGACUUGAACCCUUUAUCACUAUGUUGUGCCCUUCCUGUCCUUUUUGAUCAUUGUUAGUUUAAAAUAUGUUUUGUUUGGAAUUAGAAUAGCAACCACUGCUCUAUUUGUUUUCCGUUUGCUUGAUAGUUCUUUUUCCAUACCUCUGCUUUGAGCCUAUGGCUAUCAUUACAUGUGAGAUAGGUUUCUUUAAGAGAGCACACAGAUGGAGGACAUAAAUAAACCGAAAGAAUUCCAUAUUCAUUGAUUGGAAUAACUGAUAUUGUUAAAAUGCCUAUUACUUACUAAAGCAAUCUACAGAUUUAAUGCAAUUCUUAUCAAAAUACCAAUGUCUCGCAGAAAUAAAAAAUCUUUACAGAAAUAGAAAACCAAUCCCAAAAUUGGGAACCCCAAAAGACCCUAAAUAUCCAAAUCAAUUCUGAGCAAGAAGAAGAAAGCUAGAGGCAUUACAUUACCUGGUUUCAAAAUACAUUACACAAACAACAU